CCACCUGACAGCUCAUUCUCUUCCCUCCCCAGGCCUGUCAAAUCCUGUGGAACUACUACUCAUUGCUCUGCAGAGUGCCUCAAUUCACUGCUGAAGAAGACAUGGGCCAAAGUUUCCAGGAAGAGUUUUCAAACAUUUAAAAAGCUGUGCAUUGAAGACAACCCACAGAGUAAGAAGCUGCUUAUCCAGGGGAAUGAGAUCAACCACCAGAAGAAGGUGACGCUCUGUAUGACUUCCAGUAGGUAAGGGUAGGGUUGUGCCUAUCAGAGAUGUCCCUGGGAGGAACAUUCCUUGCCUUCAUCCCUUCAUUCUCACAUUUACAGGAAUAGUUUGAUAAAGAAGUGAAAGUCCCAUCUAGUUAGUAAGUGAUGACAGAGGAAUGGCAAUCAAGGAUAACUUCUCAGAAGAGGGACAGUUUAUACUACUCACCUCUGAGAACAAGUUGGGACUGGAUGAAUUUGCAGGAAGGAACACAAAAUCAUGACGGAGAUCAUGCUGCUUCAGGUGGCUGCAGAUCAUUACAACAUAGAGCCCAAGGAUCCAUUUAGGGCUUGGUUCCAGUCUGGGGAGUGGCUCGGUGAAGAGGAGAGAUAAGACUCAUAAGGAGCUGGGUGAGCGUAGAGGUAGACUCUUUCUGGUGGCCACUCCAGGGAUUCUUCUUCUUUGGCUCCUGGGGC
rnacentral:lncRNA from 12 species